GAUGAACGCUAGCUACAUGCUUAACACAUGCAAGUCGAGGGGAAACGCCAUCGAAAGCUUGCUUUUGAUGGGCGUCGGCCGGCGCACGGGUGAGUAACGCGUAUCCAACCUGCGCAUCACUUGGGAAUAACCUUGCGAAAUUAAGACUAAUACCCAAUGAUAUCCCACGAAUGCAUCGGAAUAGGAUGAAAGUUUUAUCGGUGAUGGAUGGGGAUGCGUCUGAUUAGCUUGUUGGCUGGGUAACGGCCCACCAAGGCAACGAUCAGUAGGGGUUCUGAGAGUCAGGUACACUACAUUGGAGACGAGACCCAGACAAAAACGCUACGGGACGGUGGAGAGAGGAACAUUGGUCAAGGAGGGGGAGCGUGACAACGCCACGUAGGGUGAAGAAAGCUGGCGCUAGUGGUUGUAAAUUACUUUUAUAAGGGAAUAAAGUGGGUAACGUGUGACUUUUUGACGGUACCUAAUGAAUAAGGACCGGCUAAUUACGUG
rnacentral:rRNA from 1 species